rnacentral:rRNA from 1 species
GAUGAACGCUAGCGGCGUGCCUAAUACAUGCAAGUCGAGCGAACAGAUGAGGAGCUUGCUCCUCUGACGUUAGCGGCGGACGGGUGAGUAACACGUGGAUAACCUACCUAUAAGACUGGGAUAACUUCGGGAAACCGGAGCUAAUACCGGAUAAUAUAUUGAACCGCAUGGUUCAAUAGUGAAAGACGGUUUUGCUGUCACUUAUAGAUGGAUCCGCGCCGCAUUAGCUAGUUGGUAAGGUAACGGCUUACCAAGGCAACGAUGCGUAGCCGACCUGAGAGGGUGAUCGGCCACACUGGAACUGAGACACGGUCCAGACUCCUACGGGAGGCAGCAGUAGGGAAUCUUCCGCAAUGGGCGAAAGCCUGACGGAGCAACGCCGCGUGAGUGAUGAAGGUCUUCGGAUCGUAAAACUCUGUUAUUAGGGAAGAACAAAUGUGUAAGUAACGAUGCACGUCUUGACGGUACCUAAGCAGAAAGCCACGGCUAACUACGU